UACGUAGGGUGCAAGCGUUGUCCGGAAUUAUUGGGCGUAAAGAGCUCGUAGGCGGUCUGUCGCGUCUGCUGUGAAAACUCGGGGCUUAACCCCGGGCCUGCAGUGGGUACGGGCAGACUAGAGUUCGGCAGGGGAGACUGGAAUUCCUGGUGUAGCGGUGAAAUGCGCAGAUAUCAGGAGGAACACCGGUGGCGAAGGCGGGUCUCUGGGCCGAUACUGACGCUGAGGAGCGAAAGCGUGGGGAGCGAACAGG
rnacentral:rRNA from 1 species